CGCCUUGCCAGCCCGCUCAGAAACUUAAAGGAAUUGACGGGGGCCCGCACAAGCGGAGGAACAUGUGGUUUAAUUCGAUGAUACGCGAGGAACCUUACCUGGGCUAGAACGCAAUCGGAAUCAGGCCGAAAGGUCUGCGCCAGCGAUGGCCGCUUGCGAGGUGCUGCAUGGUUGUCGUCAGCUCGUGCCGUGAGGUGUCGGGUUAAGUCCCAUAACGAGCGCAACCCCUACUGCUAGUUGCCAGCGGGUCAUGCCGGGGACUCUAGCGGAACUGCCAGCGUAAGCUGCGAGGAAGGUGGGGAUGACGUCAAAUCAGCACGGCCCUUACGUCCAGGGCUACACACGUGUUACAAUGGCCAGUACAGAGGGCAGCCACCCCGCGAGGGGGCGCUAAUCCUAAAAGCUGGUCCCAGUUCGGAUCGGAGUCUGCAACCCGACUCCGUGAAGCUGGAUUCGCUAGUAAUCGCGCAUCAGCCACGGCGCGGUGAAUACGUUCCCGGGCCUU
rnacentral:rRNA from 1 species